UGAGCGGCAAAAGCUCAAAUUUGAAAUCUAGCACUUUCAGUGUUCGAGUUGUAAUUUGAAGAAAGUCUCCUUGAAUAGUCCUUUAUCUAUGUUCCUUGGAACAGGACGUCAUAGAGGGUGAGAACCCCGUAUGAUUUUGGAUCCUAUUCUCUGUGGGAGUCUUUCGAAGA
rnacentral:rRNA from 1 species